rnacentral:rRNA from 1 species
UACGUAGGGUGCGAGCGUUAAUCGGAAUUACUGGGCGUAAAGCGUGCGCAGGCGGUUUUGUAAGCCAGAUGUGAAAGCCCCGGGCUUAACCUGGGAAUGGCAUUUGGGACUGCAAGGCUUGAGUGCGGCAGAGGAGACUGGAAUUCCUGGUGUAGCAGUGAAAUGCGUAGAUAUCAGGAGGAACACCAGUGGCGAAGGCGACUACCUGGCCUGUUCUUGACGCUGAGGCGCGAAAGCUAGGGGAGCAAACGGG